rnacentral:rRNA from 1 species
ACGAAGGGAGCUAGCGUUGUUCGGAAUUACUGGGCGUAAAGGGCGCGUAGGCGGCCGUAUAAGUUAGAUGUGAAAGACCUGGGCUUAACCUGGGAGGUGCAUUUAAGACUGUAUGGCUAGAGGAUAAGAGAGGGAAGUGGAAUGACGAGUGUAGAGGUGAAAUUCGUAGAUAUUCGUUGGAACACCAGUGGCGAAGGCGACUUCCUGGCUUAUAACUGACGCUAAUGCGCGAAAGCGUGGGGAGCAAACAGG